rnacentral:tRNA from 1 species
UCCCUGGUGGUCCAGUGGUUAGGACUCAGCACUUUCACUGCUGUGGCCCGGGUUCAAUCCCUGGUCAGGGAA